ensembl:lncRNA
CUCUCUCCUGCGCAAGCGCUCUUCAACAUCACUCCUUGCUACCUCGCCCCCCACCUCCUCCAGGUUUUUAAUCCUGGGUGGGCCUGAGAAGCUUUUAACUACAUCAGAAAUGGAAGCUUUAACUUAAAUUGACCCAGACUUUUGGCACCUAAAAAUGGGACUAUUCUAAUACCUUGAAAGUGACAGAAGCGCCAAGCAACGCUCAACACACUGCGUGGAUGGAGAAGGGAGAAUUGACAAGAAUGCAUAAUUGGCAUAGAUAUCUUCAUCAACUGGCAGAAUUCCCACUCUGCUUCCCUGACCUGUGGAAUAAGAGCCAUUAUGGGAGAAAAGGCUAAGUGGAAACCACUAUAACUGUGUACUUAUGGUGACCUAUGAAAAUAGGAAAUCAGAAGCAAUACUGCAUUCUUACAGGGAUUGCAGAUUAGUGCCACCAUCAAGGACUUGGAAGAAGAUAAAGAGGUGGUGAUUCCUACCCCGUUCCCCCAUUCAUCUUUCCUUUUUUUUUUUGGCCUGUGUAGAAGACAGAUGGAUCUUGGAAAAUGACAGUGGAUUAUCAUAAACUUAUUCAGCCCUCCUACAUUGUUGGUGGGAAUGUAAUUGGUACAACCACUAUGAAAAACAUUAUGGAGGUACCUCAGAAGAAACUAAAUAUAGAACUACUGUAUGAUCCAGCGAUACCACUCCUGGGCAUAUAUCUGGACAAAACUUUCAUUAAAAAAGAUACAUGCAUUCCUGUGUUCAUUGCAACUAUUCACAAUAGCCAAGACAUGGACACAACUUAAAUGUCCAUUGACCAAUAAAUGGAUUAAGAAGAUGUGGUACAUAUACACAAUGGAAUACUACUCAACUACAAAAAGAACAGAGUAAUGCCUUUUGCAGCAACAUGGAUGGAAAUAAAGACUCUCAUACUAAGUGAAGUAAGUCAGAAAGAGAAGGGCAAAUACCAUAUGAUAUCACAUAUCUGGAGUCUAAUAUAUGACACAAAUUAACCUCAAAUACAGAAAAGAAACAAACUCAUGGACAUGGAGACAUGGACUUGUGGUUAUCAAGGGGGAGAGAGAGGGGGUGAGAUGGACUGUAAGUUUGGGGUUAGUAGAUGCAAACUAUGGCAUUCGGAUUGAAUAAGCAAUGAGAUCCUGAUAUGUGGCACAGGGAACUAUAUCUAGUCACUUGUAAUCGAAUAUGAUGGAGGAUAAUGUGAGAAAAAGAAUGUAUACAUAUGUGUAACUGGGUCACUUUGCUGUACAGCAGAAAUUGACAGAACAAUGGAAAUCAACUAUAAUAAAAAAUUAAAAAAAUUAAAAA